AAUCAACGCUGGCGGCGUGCCUAACACAUGCAAGUCGAACGCGAAAGGGGCUUCGGCCCUGAGUAGAGUGGCGAACGGGCGAGUAACACGUGGGUGACCUACCUUCGAGUGGGGAUAACGUCCCGAAAGGGACGCUAACACCGCAUAACAUCCUGCCUUUGAACAGGUGGAGAUCAAAGCUGGGGAUCGCAAGACCCGGCGCUUGAAGAGGGGCCCGCGUCCGAUUAGCUAGGUUGGNGAGGUAAUGGCUCACCAAGGCGACGAUCGGUAACCGGCCUGAGAGGGCGGACGGUCGACACUGGGACUGAGACACGGCCCAGACUCCUACGGGAGGCAGGCAGUGGGGAAUUGUUCACGAAUAGGGCGCAAGCCUGAUGACGCAACGCCGCGUGGAGGAUGAAGGUCUUCGGAUUGUAAA
rnacentral:rRNA from 1 species